rnacentral:tRNA from 1 species
UGAUGUGUAGCUCAGUUACAGAGCGUUCACUUUGCAUAUGAAAGACCCUGAGUUCGAUCCCCAGCUCUUCCA